rnacentral:rRNA from 1 species
AGUGAACGCUGGCGGUGGGCCUAACACAUGCAAGUCGAACGGCAGCACAGUAAGAGCUUGCUCUUACGGGUGGCGAGUGGCGGACGGGUGAGGAAUACACCGGAAUCUACUUUUUCGUGGGGGAUAACGUAGGGAAACUUACGCUAAUACCGCAUCCGACCUACGGGUGAAAGCAGUGGAUCUUCGGACCUUGCGCGAUUGAAUGAGCCGAUGUCGGAUUAGCUAGUUGGCGGGGUAAAGGCCCACCAAGGCGACGAUCCGUAGCUGGUCUGAGAGGAUGAUCAGCCACACUGGAAGUGAGACACGGUCAAGACUCCUACGGGAGGCAGCAGUGGGGAAUAUUGGACAAUGGGCGCAAGCCUGAUCCAGCCAUACCGCGUGGGUGAAGAAGGCCUUCGGGUUGUAAAGCCCUUUUGUUGGGAAAGAAAAGCAGCAGGUUAAUACCCCGCUGUUCUGACGGUACCCAAAGAAUAAGCACCGGCUAACUUCGUG